GGGGCUGUAGCUCAGUUGGGAGAGUAUUUGAAUGGCAUUCAAAGGGUCGCGCGUUCGAUCCGCGUCAGCUCCACCA
rnacentral:tRNA from 1 species